AACGAACGCUGGCGGCAUGCCUAACACAUGCAAGUCGAACGAGACCUUCGGGUCUAGUGGCGCACGGGUGCGUAACGCGUGGGAACCUGCCCUUAGGUUCGGAAUAACUCCCCGAAAGGGGUGCUAAUACCGGAUAAUGUCUUCGGACCAAAGAUUUAUCGCCUUUGGAUGGGCCCGCGUUGGAUUAGCUAGUUGGUAGGGUAAAAGCCUACCAAGGCGACGAUCCAUAGCUGGUCUGAGAGGAUGAUCAGCCACACUGGGACUGAGACACGGCCCAGACUCCUACGGGAAGGAGCAGUGGGGAAUAUUGGACAAUGGGCGAAAGCCUGAUCCAGCAAUGCCGCGUGAGUGAUGAAGGCCUUAGGGUUGUAAAGCUCUUUUACCCGGGAUGAUAAUGACAGUACCGGGAGAAUAAGCUCCGGCUAACUCCGUG
rnacentral:rRNA from 1 species